AUUGAACGCUGGCGGCAUGCUUUACACAUGCAAGUCGAACGGUAACAGGCCGCAAGGUGCUGACGAGUGGCGAACGGGUGAGUAAUGCAUCGGAACGUGCCCAGUCGUGGGGGAUAACUACUCGAAAGAGUAGCUAAUACCGCAUACGAUCUAUGGAUGAAAGCGGGGGACCGUAAGGCCUCGCGCGAUUGGAGCGGCCGAUGUCAGAUUAGGUAGUUGGUGGGGUAAAGGCUCACCAAGCCAACGAUCUGUAGCUGGUCUGAGAGGACGACCAGCCACACUGGGACUGAGACACGGCCCAGACUCCUACGGGAGGCAGCAGUGGGGAAUUUUGGACAAUGGGCGCAAGCCUGAGCCAGCAAUGCCGCGUGCAGGAAGAAGGCCUUCGGGUUGUAAACUGCUUUUGUACGGAACGAAACGGCUCUGGUUAAUACCCGGGGCUAAUGACGGUACCGUAAGAAUAAGCACCGGCUAACUACGU
rnacentral:rRNA from 1 species